rnacentral:misc_RNA from 1 species
UGAAAAGCCCAAGCCCCAGUUUCUUUGCAGGCCUGAUGUUAUUCUUGCUGUCAACCAGGGUCCCAUAGGGAAUGUAGGAAGUUGUUCUCCACUUGAUAAUAGUUCAGUUGCAAUGAAGACAGAGACUAUGCAUAAUAUUCCAUUUCAUUUAACUGAUGUUCUCAAUCAGCAGUCUAAUGGUAGUAGCAACAACAAUGACAUGGCUUCCACAGCUAAAAAUGUCACCCCUAAGCCCG